GAUGAACGCUAGCUACAGGCUUAACACAUGCAAGUCGAGGGGCAGCGGGAUUGAAGCUUGCUUCAAUUGCCGGCGACCGGCGCACGGGUGAGUAACGCGUAUCCAACCUUCCGCUUACUCGGGGAUAGCCUUUCGAAAGAAAGAUUAAUACCCGAUGGUAUCUUAAGCACGCAUGAGAUUAAAGAUUAAAGAUUUAUCGGUAAGCGAUGGGGAUGCGUUCCAUUAGGCAGUUGGCGGGGUAACGGCCCACCAAACCUACGAUGGAUAGGGGUUCUGAGAGGAAGGUCCCCCACAUUGGAACUGAGACACGGUCCAA
rnacentral:rRNA from 1 species